rnacentral:rRNA from 1 species
CAGUCGCCGCGGGAAUACAGAGGGUGCGAGCGUUAAUCGGAUUUACUGGGCGUAAAGCGUGCGUAGGCGGCUUUUUAAGUCGGAUGUGAAAUCCCUGAGCUUAACUUAGGAAUUGCAUUCGAUACUGGGAAGCUAGAGUAUGGGAGAGGAUGGUAGAAUUCCAGGUGUAGCGGUGAAAUGCGUAGAGAUCUGGAGGAAUACCGAUGGCGAAGGCAGCCAUCUGGCCUAAUACUGACGCUGAGGUACGAAAGCAUGGGGAGCAAAUGGGAUUAGAUACCCCUGUAGUCCCUGUCUCUUAUAC